rnacentral:misc_RNA from 1 species
AUACUGGCCCUGGCUAUUAUCUGGCUUCUCCAAAUCUGGUGAAAUCAAGAAUGCUAACCCUUCGGCAGCUGUUUCAUUAUUUGGUCUGUAAAUAUUGACAAGAAAAGAAGAGUUGAAAGAUGCAACCCUUGUUGUAUUGUCGAAAACAUCACCAUCCCAGAGCUUAAAUGGUUGCUUAAAGAGGAUUCUUCCUGAGUUAUUGUAGCGAUUGAAAUCUGAAGAAGCAGAAUCAGGGGUUACUUGAAGAGCAGCGUUACUAAUUGUUGCAGGCUUUUCAACUUCAAAGAUGUCAAAGAAAGUUUCAUCAAAAGAUGCAUAUUUUAAGUUGAGAUGUUCCAUUUUCUGAGCUUGAAGCUUGAGUUGAAGUAAAGAGAAGAGCAUGAUGAAAAUGGUGAGUGUUGUUGGUGUUAACAACCCCAUUUUUCAUCAGCAGUGAGU